UACAGAGGGGGCGAGCGUUAUUCGGAAUUAUUGGGCGUAAAGGGCGCGUAGGCGGCUUUUCAAGUGACGGGUGAAAGCCCUCGGCUUAACCGAGGAACUGCCUGUCAGACUGGAAGGCUUGAGACCGGGAGAGGUGAGUGGAAUUCCCAGUGUAGCGGUGAAAUGCGUAGAUAUUGGGAGGAACACCAGUGGCGAAGGCGGCUCACUGGACCGGAACUGACGCUGAGGCGCGAAAGCGUGGGGAGCAAACAGGG
rnacentral:rRNA from 1 species